GCCAGCAUGGUGCAGUGGUUUGAACAUUGGACUAGAAGUCUGGAGACCAGGGUUUGAAUCCCCACUUUGCCA